CUAGCUGUAGGAAAAUUUGGUAAUCCGCUUGCUUUGGGUGCAAGAGACUGCGAGUUCAAAUCUCGCCAGCUAGAC
rnacentral:tRNA from 1 species